rnacentral:rRNA from 1 species
AGUGAACGCUGGCGGUAGGCCUAACACAUGCAAGUCGAACGGCAGCACAGUAAGGGCUUGCUCUUACGGGUGGCGAGUGGCGGACGGGUGAGGAAUACAUCGGAAUCUACUUUUUCGUGGGCGAUAACGUAGGGAAACUUACGCUAAUACCGCAUACGACCUACGGGUGAAAGCAGGGGAUCUUCGGACCUUGCGCGAUUGAAUGAGCCGAUGUCGGAUUAGCUAGUUGGCGGGGUAAAGGCCCACCAAGGCGACGAUCCGUAGCUGGUCUGAGAGGAUGAUCAGCCACACUGGAACUGAGGCACGGUCCAGACUCCUACGGGAGGCAGCAGUGGGGAAUAUUGGACAAUGGGCGCAAGCCUGAUCCAGCCAUACCGCGUGGGUGAAGAAGGCCUUCGGGUUGUAAAGCCCUUUUGUUGGGAAAGAAAAGCAGCAGGUUAAUACCCCGCUGUUCUGACGGUACCCAAAGAAUAAGCACCGGCUAACUUCGUG